UACAGAGGGGGCAAGCGUUAUUCGGAAUUAUUGGGCGUAAAGGGCGCGUAGGCGGCUUUGCAAGUGGCGGGUGAAAUCCCUCGGCUUAACCGAGGAACUGCCUGCCAGACUGUGAGGCUUGAGACCGGGAGAGGUGAGUGGAAUUCCCAGUGUAGCGGUGAAAUGCGUAGAUAUUAGGAAGAACACCAGUGGCGAAGGCGACUUUCUGGACGGUUCCUGACGCUGAGGAGCGAAAGCGUGGGGAGCGAACAGG
rnacentral:rRNA from 1 species